rnacentral:rRNA from 1 species
UACGGGGGGGGCAAGCGUUGUUCGGAAUUACUGGGCGUAAAGGGCUCGUAGGCGGCCAACUAAGUCAGACGUGAAAUCCCUCGGCUUAACCGGGGAACUGCGUCUGAUACUGGAUGGCUUGAGUUCGGGAGAGGGAUGCGGAAUUCCAGGUGUAGCGGUGAAAUGCGUAGAUAUCUGGAGGAAUACCGGUGGCGAAGGCGGCAUCCUGGACCGACACUGACACUGAGGAGCGAAAGCCAGGGGAGCAAACGGG